GAGCGACACAUAUGAACUGUGUGCAACAUUAUAAACAAGGUUUUUUGCGCCGCUUUUUUAUAAUAAAGUGACGCAAAUAACUCUUUUGGCUUUAGGUUUUUCUGCGUUUUUUGACCUUAGUUUUUCAUCAGGUACGCCUACAUUCACUAUACAAAAAGAAAAAAAAAACAAGAGUUCUUAAAUUCCAGCGAAUUUCUACAGCAAAACACCCACAAAUUUGUCUCUGAAAUCCAACAAAUUCGGCCAAAAACUUGCGUUUCCCCAGCAAAUUUAACAUCUAAAAUCGCAGUGAAGUCGAAGACCCAUAAUCGGCUGCAAAUCCGAGCAAUUUCGAGCAAAAAUUUAGACCAAAAACCCUAAGAAAUUCGAAGCCUUAAACCUAGAAAAAUUGAUUGUUUCCGACCAAAAAUCCCCCAUUUCGAGCAAAAAAUCAACUCAAAAGCAUACAAAUUCGAACCCUAAAAACCCCAAAAAAUUCAAUUUCGGUCUUCAAGUUCGAUUGGGGGAUUUCGUGGGGGGAUUUCUAGGGUUUUUGGCAGCGACGCAAUAUACCCUAUGAAAUUUGUCCCAUUUCAGUCAUAAAUAAUUUUUGUUCGAAUUUCAGUCAAGAAAUUACAGCAACAAUAGUUUAAGUCAAGAAAUUACAGCAACAAUAAUUGUUUGAAUUACGUCUUUUUCUGGGUUCAAGUCAAGAAAUUACAGCAACAAAAAUUCGAGCAAUAACUGAAAUUUUCGAGUGGAAAAAUCGCUUAAUUUCGCCCCAAAAAACCCGAGGAAGUUCAAGCAAAUUACAGCAACAACAAUUGAAGUGGCUAUGUAUGUAUGUGGCCAUGUGGGUUAGUUGCCGUUUGAAGCCGAAGAGAAUUAAAUGGCAGAUUCAACGCAAAAAAAAAAAGACAGAAAACCCAGUUGCUGUUAAUAAAGGUAAUAAUGGUAUUGUAAAGAACAAGAAGAAGAACAAAGAGGUUGCUCCCUUCGGAAAUUACAGGAAUUACUAUGGUUACCGUGUUGGUCAUGACGUUGAGGAGGAUCCACGGUUCAAAGUACUGAAGAAGGAGUGGUUUGAAGGCAAAGAUUGUCAGAGAACACACUCGCCUUGGUAGACAGCAAUUCAGGACGCAACAUUCGGAUCAGAGGAUCCACAUGAACCGCAGGCUCCUCGGAUGAAGAUUGCCAGAGAACACACUCGCCUAAAAACCAAGCGUAUGUCCUCUGGAGCACUGGAAGCCCCUGAUAAAGGGCCCAGAAACAGCAACAAAUCAUGCCAGACCGGAUAGCUUCAGGGACUCCGACGAUCAAACUCUAAGGACGGAGAUUGAUCUGCAAAACACAACCUCAUGAAAAUCAUCAAAAUAGAAAAAGUAAUCGAAAAAAUAUGCACAUGUGUUGUUAAAGUACUCACCGAUGCACGAGUCGCCGAAAGGAUCCUCUAGAGAAAGUCACAGCCUGAAGUGGCCCGCUUCUUCUUUAUCGUGACCAGCCGAUGGUCAAUAGGAAAGCGAGCAGCCUCAAGCGUCCUAGGGGCUAAAAAAGGAAGGUACGAAUAUCCCUAAGACUAUAAGAAACGAAAAAAAAUAAGAAAAAAAAAACAAGAAUGGCGAUUAAAAAAAAUUUAAAGUAUGUACCUCAAGGAAACGACCAUGCCACGUGAGAGAAAUCUGAGGCACCUCGGUAGCUGCCGCAAAAUCCAUCACACGGGUUUCCUUGCCAAUAGAUGUAAGCAUAUGGGCAUACGACACCUUCGCCCAACUCAAGUUACCUACCUGCCCCAAAUCACUGAGGCAAAUAAGUAACCCUAUAGCGAAACGCUCUCCCCGAUCACUCAAGAUAGUGACGGAAAGAACAUGAGCAAUGUAUAUUCAAGCUAGCUGCUCAGGUGUACACUGCCGAUCAACCUCAUCAGCCGACAACUCAUCGGCAAGAAUCAAGUACGGAAAAGACUGCGCAUACAUCUAAAGGACCGCCGCAAGACGGUCCACCACGAGGUCACGUAGUCUCUCGUCUGACCCCUUGAUGACCUCCAUAGCUACGGGCUCACCUCCAAAAGGAAAACCCGUAAUCAUACAAAAAACGUAAGGGGUAACCGUCAUCUUUCCCCAUGGAAAGUGAAAAAUGUUAAUCCCACCAAAACUCCAGCAAUCCACGAAGGAAAGCCAGUUGGGAGCUGAUCCCCAAAUGUUCCACAAUCUCCUAUACUACCUCGGGUAAACUCUCAAAACGGCCACGCAAGUUACUAGAGCCGUAUAGACGCAUGCUAGGCUCAAUCCAAAAAACGAAGAGCAAAAAAAAGAGUAAAAAUAUGGUUACAGUUUGUUUCGAAGAAAUAAAACGGAGGCGCAAGGGACUCACAAUGCCACGCCAACCCCUGAUCGAGACGUGAUGGUUUAGGUUCCACUUAAGGACCCUAGGGUCCCAUUUGAGAGGAGCCUCCCAAACAAAAUCCUUUUGGCGACGUCGAUCAGCUCCGACGCAUCGCUC